AGAUUUGAUACAAAAGGGUAACCUGGAAAUAUGGUCCAUUAAUUUCUGAUCAGUUUAAUGUGGCUAACACUUCGCAGCGGAGGUGGAUUCAUCAUGCUAGCAGGAUUGGGGGUUGCCAUUCGUCCGCCUUCUUCAAUGACACGAAACAUGGUAACUUUGAGCACAAUUUCUCUCAUUCUAAGAAGCUCAAACACACAAACGUCACCCUCCCCUAGAUUAUUUUCCAGGCAGAACUCAUACCAUCCCUGACUUAACUUCGCUCUACCAACUUUAUAAAGACAUCGGACUGGCCACUGUCUCCCGUCAGGUGUCUGAAGUUUGAUGAAUCCUGAAACCCCACUUAGAUUCUUU
rnacentral:misc_RNA from 1 species